rnacentral:tRNA from 1 species
CCAUCGCAUGGUUGGAGGAUUUGAGCGUUCGCUAUCGGCGAGCGAAUCUCAUGGGCGACGUCGCUCGGGUCGACGCGACGAUC